rnacentral:rRNA from 1 species
CCUACGGGAGGCACCAGUGGGGAAUAUUGCACAAUGGGCGCAAGCCUGAUCCAGCCAUACCGCGUGAGUGAAGAAGGCCUUAGGGUUAUAAAGCUCUUUCACCGGUGAAGAUAAUGACGGUAAUCGGAGAAGAAGCCCCGGCUAACUUCGUGCCAGCAGCCGCGGUAAUACGAAGGGGGCUAGCGUUGUUCGGAAUUACUGGGCGUAAAGCGCGCGUAGGCGGAUAGAUAAGUCAGAGGUGAAAUCCCGGGGCUCAACCCCGGAAUUGCCUUUGAUACUGUUUAUCUUGAGUGCAGAAGAGGUAAGUGGAAUUCCGAGUGUAGAGGUGAAAUUCGUAGAUGUUCGGAGGAACACCAGUGGCGAAGGCGGCUUACUGGUCUGCAACUGACGCUGAGGCGCGAAAGCGUGGGGAGCAAACAGGAUUAGAUACCCGAGUAGUC